rnacentral:rRNA from 1 species
GACGAACGCUGGCGGCGUGCUUAACACAUGCAAGUCGAACGGAAAGGCCCUGCUUUUGUGGGGUGCUCGAGUGGCGAACGUGUGAGUAACACGUGAGUAACCUGCCCUUGACUUUGGUAUAACUUCAGGAAACUGGGUCUAAUACCGGAUAGGAGCUCCUGCUGCAUGGUGGGGGUUGGAAAGUUUCGGCGGUUGGGGAUGGACUCGCGGCUUAUCAGCUUGUUGGUGGGGUAGUGGCUUACCAAGGCUUUGACGGGUAGCCGGCCUGAGAGGGUGACCGGCCACAUUGGGACUGAGAUACGGCCCAGACUCCUACGGGAGGCAGCAGUGGGGAAUAUUGCACAAUGGGCGGAAGCCUGAUGCAGCAACGCCGCGUGCGGGAUGACGGCCUUCGGGUUGUAAACCGCUUUCGCCUGUGACGAAGCGUGAGUGACGGUAAUGGGUAAAGAAGCACCGGCUAACUACGUG